GACGAACCGUGCGAACGUUAUUCGGAAUCACUGGGCUUAAAGCGCGUGUAGGCGGGGCGGCACGUCGGUCGCUGAAAGCCCCCGGCUCAACCGGGGAACGGGCGCCGAUACGACCGCCCUGGAGGGACGUAGGGGGCCUGGAACUUCCGGUGGAGCGGUGAAAUGCGUUGAGAUCGGAAGGAACGCCCGUGGCGAAAGCGAGGCCCUGGACGUCUACUGACGCUGAGACGCGAAAGCCAGGG
rnacentral:rRNA from 1 species